AGAGUUUGAUCCUGGCUCAGAUUGAACGCUGGCGGAAUGCUUUACACAUGCAAGUCGAGCGGCAGCGCGGGGCAACCUGGCGGCGAGCGGCGAACGGGUGAGUAACGUAUCGGAACGUAUCCAUAAGUGGGGGACAACCUGGCGAAAGCCAGGCUAAUACCGCAUACGCAGGAGACUGGAAAGUGGGGGACCGCAAGGCCUCACGCUUUAGGAGCGGCCGAUAUCCGAUUAGCUUGUUGGUGAGGUAAAGGCUUACCAAGGCUAUGAUCGGUAGCUGGUCUGAGAGGAUGAUCAGCCACACUGGAACUGAGACACGGUCCAGACUCCUACGGGAGGCAGCAGUGGGGAAUUUUGGACAAUGGGGGCAACCCUGAUCCAGCCAUUCCGCGUGAGUGAAGAAGGCCUUCGGGUUGUAAAGCUCUUUUGUUCGGGACGAAACGGUUAAGGUUAAUAACCUUGACUACUGACGGUACCGGAAGAAUAAGCACCGGCUAACUACGUGCCAGCAGCCGCGGUAAU
rnacentral:rRNA from 1 species